GAUUUCUGCAACAAUCAAGGACUUUCAUUCUUCCUUUUCUAGCUGUUUAUUGGGUUGGCCAUGGGCCUCCUGGGGCUGCCCACCAAUGAAAAGUUUUAGAUUGCCUCUGGUCUCAUUACCAUUGUGUCUCUCACAUUAUUCCAUAUAGUUCUCAACUCAAUUCUGCUGGGCUGGAUUCUCUGGGGAACAUCUGUUUGUGCAAGUCAGCUUUCAUUAAGCACAAUGGGUGCAAGGCUCUGGAUGGAAUUAUGCAUCCCUUCAGAUCUGAAUGACUAAGAAUUGUUACAAAUAUCAGUGUAAUGAAGAUGGAAUUCAGUGCUGCAAAGUAUAUAUCCUAUUCAAAGGACUUCUCACUUCUCUUCUUAUAUGUAUUUGUUCUGCUUCUUGCCACUGUGUAAAACCCUCCUUCUCCUUCUGCCAAACUUGUGGGAAGGAAGGAAAGAAGGAAAAGCUCCCCAGCUUUGCAGUUGACCCCACCUAGAAAGCCUACAAAACUCAAGAAAGGAAAAAAGCCAAAAGGUAAGGGAAGCUAUCUGAUCAAGUCAGAAAGCAACCUCAAACCUGGUUGGUCUCCAGACUUUGGAGAGAAAUUUCAAGGGUGAGAAGAAAGAACCACGGGGGCAGAAGGAGCUCUUCUCUGUACCUGGGUUCACCCUAUUACUAAGGAACAGGCAACAGCAAAGAGGAAUUGGAAGGUUACAUAGACAAUAGGUUCUCUGAUGAGCCAGUUGCACUCAGAGCCAGAGAGCAGGAUUAGAAGUCCCAGGAAGAGACAAAACCUGGAUCAAGGACAAGCAGCCAAAGGAAACACCAUUGUCCUGGAGAAUUUUCCCAGUGAAUAGCACCCCUCCCAGGAGGCCAUGCAUAAAACAACACUGGGAAUAUUGUAUCUACUCUACAGGGCUGCUGGGAGAAUCAAAGGAGGGAUGAAAAAUCAGGUGCUUAUAACUCUUAAGCAAUGUAUAAAUACAAAAGAAUAUAUUAAUGAUAAUGUUGUUACUAACAAAAAUAAACUCUGAAGGGAUAUGUAAAUAUGUUAUUUCCCAUGUCCAGAUGUCACUGUCUGAGCUGAGAGUUGCUACAUCCUCUCAUUAAAGAUUAAAUAGAGGGAGGGGUUUAUUUCAGGAAAGCCUCAGAAUCCCAACAUCUCAUCAUUGGAAAAAAUCUCAGAAGGAAUCUAAUCCAACUGGUAAGUGAGUAAGAACAAUUCAAGUGCCUCAUAGACAUCCCAGAGUCAAUACGUCCAAGACAGAACCUAUUAUUUUUUCCCUUAGACUCACUCCACUGCACUUUUUUAUUUCUGUAGAUUUACCUUAUUCUCAUCACCCAGUUUUCCAUCCUUAGAGUCAUCCUUGAAUUUUUCCCCUUUUCUUAUUCUCCAUGUUUAGUCAGUUGCAAAGUCUUAUACAUUUUAUCCUUACAUCAUCCAUACAGCUAGCUUCUCAAGCAAGAGAGGAUUUGUUGUUGUUCAGUCAUUUUCAACUAUAUCUGACUCUUCAUGAUGCUAUUUGAUAUCUUCUUGGAGUGGCUUUCCGUUUCCUUCUCCAGCUCAUUUUACAGAUGAGGAAACUGAGGC